AAUAAUAAUAAUAAUAAUAAUAAUGCAGGCCUCAUAACAGCAUUACUCUAAAGGAAGGAAGCAUACAUGCUAAUACCUGACACUUAUAUGAAACCCUAGGAUUCCAUUAUGGAACAGUUGCUCUGAUGUGAGUUUUGUGCAUCUCUGAAUAUAUUUCAGUCAUAUUUCUAGACAGAAAUAAAUUUCAGAUAUGUGUAGAACAAGUAGAUGAGGAAAUGAACAGAUAUAGGGGGUGGGUGGAUGGGGAAAUAUUUGACUGUUUUAUGAGGUGAACAAUGGGGGUGAGACCUCUUUCUUUCUUUUUCAGAGAUGGAAGAGAUAACCGUGUCAACUGAGAAUGGUUAUAGUGAUGAGAAUGAGGAAGAGCUGGAGCAUUUGUGGACAACCAUCUUUGUUUUCUUCAUCCUCUUCCUUCUCAGUGUGUGCUAUAGUGCAACAGUGACAUUGUUCAAAGUGAAAUGGCUUUUCUCCACUGUGGUGAACAUGAAGAAGCAACCAGCAGGCCCUGAUUAUAAGAAUGUACUCCAGCGCAUGAUAUAAAAUCAUCUCCUGGGAUGCCUACGCUAUUUCUUCUGAGGUGCAAAGCUGAAGUCACUGGCCAGAGUUGCCUCUCCAAUGUGACUACCCAGGACCCUCUCCUGUCAUCCUCUUCUCUUCCUUUACAGGUAGAAAUUAAAUCCUGUCAACUCAAGGACUCCUGUAUUUUGCUAUAACCUGGACCAAGACUUCUCAUAUAAUCUCAUAAUUUUAUCAGUUGAAACAGAACUCUCAAGAAGAAAAACUGUAUGGCUCUCUAUCUUAGAGUUUCCUAAAGUCAAUCUUAAAAACAACUAGUUCUGCCACCCAACCUGGGAUUCACCUGGUGCCUACAUUAUGUUCUCUUCGGCACUCAUUUAACGUCUUUUUCAAUUUUCAUACUGCAUUAUCCCUGUUGAUUCUUUGACCUUUGGUUUUAGUGUGUGCUGAUAGUGAUUUUAUAUUUGUUUGUAUGUGACUGGUGUGACUGCUGUUUUGUAUUUUAUUUUAUUUUAAUGUUUUUUUCUGUUUUGGGCAUCAACCAGAGCCCUUGGAUUAUGGGACAGUUUUAGAAUGUAAGAAAUAAAAUAAGAAUUUUUUUAGAGUGAA